rnacentral:rRNA from 1 species
AUUGAACGCUGGCGGCAGGCCUAACACAUGCAAGUCGAACGAGUGGCGGCCGUGUGAGUAAUGUCUGGGAAACUGCCCGAUUGAGGGGGAUAACUACUGUAAACGGUAGCUAAUACCGCAUACCAUCGGAUGUGCCCAGAUGGGAUUUGUUAGUAGGUGGUGUAACGGCUCACCUAGUCGACGAUCCCUAGCUGGUCUGAGAGGAUGACCAUCCACACUGGACUUGAGACACGGUCCGGACUCCUACGGGAGGCAGCAGUGGGGAAUAUUGCACAAUGGGCGCAAGCCUGAUGCAGCCCUGCCGAGUGUAUGAAGAAGGCCGUCGGGUUGUAAAGUACUUUCAGCGAGGAGGCGUUACUCGCAGAAGAAGCACCGGCUAACUCCGUGCCAGCAGCCGCGGUAAUAC